rnacentral:rRNA from 1 species
GAACGCUAGCUACAGGCUUAACACAUGCAAGUCGAGGGGCAGCAUGGUCUUAGCUUGCUAAGGCCGAUGGCGACCGGCGCACGGGUGAGUAACACGUAUCCAACCUGCCGUCUACUCUUGGACAGCCUUCUGAAAGGAAGAUUAAUACAAGAUGGCAUCAUGAGUCCACAUGUUCACAUGAUUAAAGGUAUUCCGGUAGACGAUGGGGAUGCGUUCCAUUAGAUAGUAGGCGGGGUAACGGCCCACCUAGUCUUCGAUGGAUAGGGGUUCUGAGAGGAAGGUCCCCCACAUUGGAACUGAGACACGGUCCAAACUCCUACGGGAGGCAGCAGUGAGGAAUAUUGGUCAAUGGGCGAGAGCCUGAACCAGCCAAGUAGCGUGAAGGAUGACUGCCCUAUGGGUUGUAAACUUCUUUUAUAAAGGAAUAAAGUCGGGUAUGCAUACCCGUUUGCAUGUACUUUAUGAAUAAGGAUCGGCUAACUCCGUGCCAGCAGCCGCGGUAAUACGGAGGAUCCGAGCGUUAUCCGGAUUUAUUGGGUUUAAAGGGAGCGUAGAUGGAUGUUUAAGUCAGUUGUGAAAGUUUGCGGCUCAACCGUAAAAUUGCAGUUGAUACUGGAUAUCUUGAGUGCAGUUGAGGCAGGCGGAAUUCGUGGUGUAGCGGUGAAAUGCUUAGAUAUCACGAAGAACUCCGAUUGCGAAGGCAGCCUGCUAAGCUGCAACUGACAUUGAGGCUCGAAAGUGUGGGUAUCAAACAGGAUUAGAUACCCUGGUAGUCCACACGGUAAACGAUGAAUACUCGCUGUUUGCGAUAUACUGCAAGCGGCCAAGCGAAAGCGUUAAGUAUUCCACCUGGGGAGUACGCCGGCAACGGUGAAACUCAAAGGAAUUGACGGGGGCCCGCACAAGCGGAGGAACAUGUGGUUUAAUUCGAUGAUACGCGAGGAACCUUACCCGGGCUUAAAUUGCAGAUGAAUUACGGUGAAAGCCGUAAGCCACAAGGCAUCUGUGAAGGUGCUGCAUGGUUGUCGUCAGCUCGUGCCGUGAGGUGUCGGCUUAAGUGCCAUAACGAGCGCAACCCUUGUUGUCAGUUACUAACAGGUUCUGCUGAGGACUCUGACAAGACUGCCAUCGUAAGAUGUGAGGAAGGUGGGGAUGACGUCAAAUCAGCACGGCCCUUACGUCCGGGGCUACACACGUGUUACAAUGGGGGGUACAGAGGGCCGCUACCACGCGAGUGGAUGCCAAUCCCAAAAACCUCUCUCAGUUCGGACUGGAGUCUGCAACCCGACUCCACGAAGCUGGAUUCGCUAGUAAUCGCGCAUCAGCCACGGCGCGGUGAAUACGUUCCCGGGCCUUGUACACACCGCCCGUCAAGCCAUGGGAGCCGGGGGUACCUGAAGUGCGUAACCGCGAGGAGCGCCCUAGGGUAAAACUGGUGACUGGGGCUAAGU